rnacentral:lncRNA from 1 species
UUACCUACUCUUGGCAUAGUGAGUUUUCUAACUUGUCCGUGGGCUUUGGUGUGGCAUUGUGAUAUGUCGAGUCAGUUUGUUGGACAUUUCCUGUGUUGUUUUCUUUAUUCACUCUUAUUAUACAUCACACAAUGUUUGCUUAUGUGAGUAACAUAUGAUGCUAUUCAGCACCAUGUGGAUCAUGCUUUUGGCAAACAAGCCAGAUUUCUCCUUAUCCAUGGCAGUUGAUUUUGAGGGUUCAAACCGUGGGGACAGUUUUCUAAUGAAUUUGCGUAAUGCUGAGUCACACAAGCUUAAUUGUUAGCAGUACUUUCAUGGCUUGUAUAUAUAAACACACACACACACACAGAGAAAUGACUUUUCAUCUCACCAUCAGUACUUCCCUUGAAGACUGAAGCCAAGGCAAAGCAGCAAGAAANNN